rnacentral:rRNA from 1 species
AUUGAACGCUGGCGGCAGGCCUAACACAUGCAAGUCGAGCGGAGCGGCGGACGGGUGAGUAAUGCAUAGGAAUCUGCCUGGUAGUGGGGGAUAACGUCCGGAAACGGGCGCUAAUACCGCAUACUAUUAGAUGAGCCUAGGUCGGAUUAGCGAGUUGGUGGGGUAAAGGCCUACCAGGGCGACGAUCCGUAACUGGUCUGAGAGAAUGAUCAGUAAAACUGGAACUGUGAAACGGUCCAACCUCCUACGGGAGGCAGCAGUGGGGAAUAGUGGACAAUGGGCGAAAGCCUAAUCCAGCCAUGCCGCGUGUGUGAAGAAGGUCUUCGGAUGGUAAAGCCUGUUAAGUUGGGAGGCGUUACCAACAGAAUAAGCACCGGCUAACUGCGUGCCAGCAGCCGCGGUAAUUC